rnacentral:rRNA from 1 species
CGCCAGAGUACUACGAGCAACAGCUUAAAACUCAAAGGACUUGGCGGUGCUCUACACCCCCCUAGAGGAGCCUGUUCUAUAAUCGAUAAUCCCCGAUAAACCUCACCAUCUAUUGCCAAUACAGCCUAUAUACCACCGUCCAGCCCACCCUUUAAGGGAAAAACAGUAGGCACAACUAUAAACAUAAAAACGUCAGGUCAAGGUGUAGCAGAUAAGAUGGGAAGAAAUGGGCUACAUUUUCUAACCUAGAAAACCACGGAGAAGUCUAUGAAACUAAACUAUGAAGGAGGAUUUAGCAGUAAAAAGAAAAAAGAGUGUUCUUUUUAAACCGGCAAUGGAGCGCGCACACACCGCCCGUCACCCU